rnacentral:rRNA from 1 species
UGGGGAAUAUUGCACAAUGGAGGGAACUCUGAUGCAGCGACGCCGCGUGAGGGAUGACGGCCUUCGGGUUGUAAACCUCUUUCAGUAGGGACGAAGCGUAAGUGACGGUACCUGCAGAAGAAGCACCGGCUAACUACGUGCCAGCAGCCGCGGUAAUACGUAGGGUGCGAGCGUUGUCCGGAAUUACUGGGCGUAAAGAGCUCGUAGGCGGUUUGUCACGUCGUCUGUGAAAUCCUAGGGCUUAACCCUGGACGUGCAGGCGAUACGGGCUGACUUGAGUACUACAGGGGAGACUGGAAUUUCUGGUGUAGCGGUGGAAUGCACAGAUAUCAGGAAGAACACCGAUGGCGAAGGCAGGUCUCUGGGUAGUAACUGACGCUGAGGAGCGAAAGCAUGGGUAGCGAACAGG